rnacentral:rRNA from 1 species
UACGUAGGGGGCAAGCGUUGUCCGGAUUUAUUGGGCGUAAAGAGCGUGUAGGCGGCCAGACAGGUCAGCUGUGAAAACUCGAGGCUCAACCUCGAGACGUCGGUUGAAACCGUUUGGCUAGAGUCCGGAAGAGGAGAGUGGAAUUCCCGGUGUAGCGGUGAAAUGCGCAGAUAUCGGGAAGAACACCCGUGGCGAAGGCGGCUCUCUGGGACGGUACUGACGCUGAGACGCGAAAGCGUGGGGAGGCGAACGAG